rnacentral:lncRNA from 1 species
UUGAUUUUUGAUGAUGUUGAUACCCAAAUUCUAGGAACUUUCAAUGGAGAUGACAUCGAUGUCGAUGUUGGGGAGACGAGGGCUUUGGUUGUCUCUGAGUUUAUUGUUCUUGUAAACAUUGCCUUGUUUACUAAUGCUAGCAAAUCGUCGACUCUUUGGGAUGUUGUCUCUGGUGAGAAGAUUACAGGCAGAGUACUUGCAGUUCAUCUCUUAUCUCAAAUUUAAUUAAAUUAUGGGCUAGAUUGGGAUUGUUACGACUUGGUGUGGGGAAGAUCGCACAACCAAGAUAGGAUUCUGGAUGCAUAAAGGAAAAUGUUUAAUGCCAUUUUUGAGAAGAAUGUUGCUUAUAAGAGUUUUACAUUGAGAAGUUGUAACCUUAGAUAGCCAACACUUUGUAUCCUUCUCAUCCGUGAGAACAACCUUGUUCCCAAGGGGAAGGGAAUAAUUAGGAAAUAUUGGGAAGAGAUUGAACUGCUCAGUAGAUGUAUAGGUCUUAAUCUUCAGUUGUAUUCAGAAAAGCUGCUACAUUCCUAUGCGGCUCGAUCUUAUUUCGGAGCAACAAAAACGGCGUGCUAUUUUAUCCUUUUACCUACUCUACUUGUUAUGAUAUUCUCC